UUGUUUACCCAAUUUGCAAAAUGUCGGUGUUGUUAUCGAAUUUAAGUAUGUUGCUUUAUAUCUACCCCUGUUCCACUGUAUAAAAUAAAAAAAAUGACGACCCAUUACUAAAACAAAACAUAUGCGUGGGUCCAGUCAUGAUCCUUUUCGGUUUAAAAAAAAACCAACUAAUAUAUGUUUUUGAGUAUGGAUAAAGCCAACAGUAGUAUACUAGUGGUUAGAAAGUUAUAAAUAAAUAGAGAAAAUACAAAUCCGGGUUACAAACCAAAACCAAUGGAAACACAUCAACUAUAAGUGGGAAACAAAGGAACAACAGGAACACCCAAGUGCAACAAAAACACACGCA
rnacentral:lncRNA from 1 species